rnacentral:rRNA from 1 species
GAUGAACGCUAGCGGCAGGCUUAACACAUGCAAGUCGAGGGGUAUGCUUCUUCGGGAGCAGAGACCGGCGCACGGGUGCGUAACGCGUAUGCAAUCUGCCUUUUACAGGGGGAUAGCCCAGAGAAAUUUGGAUUAAUACCCCAUGGUAUUAUAGGGUGGCAUCACCUUAUAAUUAAAGUCACAACGGUAAAAGAUGAACAUGCGUCCCAUUAGCUUGUUGGUAGGGUAACGGCCUACCAAGGCUACGAUGGGUAGGGGUCCUGAGAGGGAGAUCCCCCACACUGGUACUGAGACACGGACCAGACUCCUACGGGAGGCAGCAGUGAGGAAUAUUGGUCAAUGGGCGCAAGCCUGAACCAGCCAUGCCGCGUGCAGGAUGACGGUCCUAUGGAUUGUAAACUGCUUUUGUACGGGAAGAAACACUCCUACGUGUAGGAGCUUGACGGUACCGUAAGAAUAAGGAUCGGCUAACUCCGUGCCAGCAGCCGCGGUAAUAC